GAUGAACGCUAGCGGCAGGCCUAACACAUGCAAGUCGAGGGGGAAGUUACUUUCGGGUAACUGAGACCGGCGUACGGGUGCGUAACGCGUAUACAACCUGCCUUUCACUGGGGGAUAGCCCGAAGAAAUUUGGAUUAAUACCCCAUAGUAUAGUAGUGUGGCAUCACACAACUAUUAAAGCUUAGGUGGUGAAAGAUGAGUAUGCGUUCUAUUAGCUAGUUGGAGAGGUAACGGCUCCCCAAGGCUAUGAUAGAUAGGGGUUCUGAGAGGGAUGUCCCCCACACUGGUACUGAGAUACGGACCAGACUCCUACGGGAGGCAGCAGUGAGGAAUAUUGGACAAUGGUCGGAAGACUGAUCCAGCCAUGCCGCGUGCAGGAUGAAGGUCUUAUGGAUUGUAAACUGCUUUUGUAAGGGAAGAAUAAGGACUACGUGUAGUUUGAUGACGGUACCUUAUGAAUAAGCAUCGGCUAACUCCGUG
rnacentral:rRNA from 1 species